GGGGAUUUAGCUCAGUGGUAGAGCACUUGCCUCGCAUGCGCAAGGCCCUGGGUUCGGUCCCCAGCUCCG
rnacentral:tRNA from 1 species